AUUGAACGCUGGCGGCAGGCCUAAUACAUGCAAGUCGAGCGAGCGGCGGACGGGUGAGUAAUGUCUGGGAAAUUGCCUGAUGGAGGGGGAUAACUACUGGAAACGGUAGCUAAUACCGCUAAGCAUCAGAUGUGCCAAGAUGGGAUUAGCUAGUAGGUGGGGUAAUGGCUCACCUAGGCGACGAUCCCUAGCUGGUCUGAGAGGGUGACCGGCCACACUGGAACUGAGACACGGUCCAGACUCCUACGGGAGGCAGCAGUGGGGAAUAUUGCACAAUGGGCGCAAGCCUGACGCAGCCAUGCCGCGUGUAUGAAGAAGGCUUUCGGGUUGUAAAGUACUUUCAGCGGGGAGGCGUUACCUGCAGAAAAAGCACCGGCUAACUCCGUGCCAGCAGCCGCGGUAAUAC
rnacentral:rRNA from 1 species